UAGUGCGGAUACAAUGAGAAUAUUAUACAAUUCUUUUACAAAAUGUGGAAGUGGCUGAAAAUUUGUUUUCAUCUCUGUGAAGUUUUGGUGAUUUUUUUCCCUUUCUCAAGAGUAGUUAGUGAUUGCUGUGAAGAGGUUGUGCCUGAGAAGUGACGGUCAGACUGAAAACCAGCCUUUGAUAUUUGAACAGCUCUUUCCGUCUCAGAGUUCUCCCAUGUCAGAGUUGCUGGAAUAGAGCAGGGUUUGAGAAGAGAUUGCACUGAAGGAGUCAUCAGCAUUCCUGGUCCUGUCUGUGCCUUGCCUUGAUUGUCCUCCAAGAGGGAGCCUCCUGUGUGCAGAGCCAUAUGCUCUACGGCUUUUCAUGUGAUCAGCUUGCAUGCAGCUAAAUAGACAUCAUACAACUAUUAUCACGAUGUAUUUAUUCGGGAAAAGAGGAAAAACUUGUAGUUAUUGUCUCACAUGGGGAGAAGAAUGAAGGAGACUGGAGGAUGGCCUGUACCAGUGAUGGUGAACUGAUGGCAUGCGUGCUGCAACAGAGAGGCCAAACCUUCUCCAUCAGCACGAAGCCAAGUCGCCCUAAAAUCACCCUAACAUCAGAAUCAGGAAAAGAUUGUCUUCACCAAAUCAAAAUCUGAAGGGACAGAAAUCGCCCCAAAUCCACGUGUGGCUUGGUUUAAUAUCCACACCCACAUAUCUGGUGGGAGGGAAAGAGAGAAGACAGACAUCAGAGACACCAAACCAGGGCUCCAAGAGGCUCUGGAACAGUGUCACAAAGAAGGAAGAGAUUGGAAGAUGGAUUAAAUACUUUCAUUCCCUGCUGAGAUCUCCACAGAGCAAAUCCUUUUUUUUUUUUUUUUUUUGGUCUUUUUUCCUUUUUAUCGGUACCAGGGAUCGAACUCACGACUGCCUGCUUCCAAGGCAGGCGCUUAUGCCGCUAAGCUAAAUCCCCAGCCCCAGCAGAACAAAUCCUAAGUGUUUUCUUUUAAAUAGCUCAAGUCCCAAAGGAUGAAGAUAGCAGAAAAUGAGGUGAUAACUCAUGUUUUGUAACCUGGAAAGCUGCUGAGUCGUAGAGGACCAAGAGGAAUUUAAGGCUAAGCCCAGGCAGGGAUGGAUGGGAUUCAACUCAACUUCCUCCUCAGAAUAUGCAGCUCAGAAAUGGAGAAUGUGUGGUUCUUUUAGAAGUUGGGUGGGUAGACAGACUAAAAGGGGGAGAUUGGCUGAAAGUUAGUUUUUGAAAUAAAUGUCUGGAUCAUCUUGCCAGCUGUGGAUAACCAGGCCGUGGGUCCUCCCAGGUGUGGCAAAGGAAAGAGUAUUUUCUUCUAGAGGGAGAAACUUGACCUCCUUGAAGAUGGAGGUAUCAUAGUGAGACAGGUCAGUUGACUGUACUAGGCAUGAUCAAAAUAUAUGGUGAAUGUUUAAAUUUAAUAAAAAUUAAUAUAGCAAAA